GACGAACGCUGGCGGCGUGCUUAACACAUGCAAGUCGAACGGAAAGGCCCUGCUUUUGUGGGGUGCUCGAGUGGCGAACGGUGAGGAAACCGGUAGUAACCUUGCCUUGGCUUUGGGAUAAACUUAAGGAACCUGGGCUUAUACCCGAAUGGAGCCCCUGCUGCAUUGGGGGGGGUGGAAAGUUUUCGGCGGUUGGGGAUGGACUCGCGGCUUACCAGCUGGUUGGUGGGGUAGUGGCUUACCAAGGCUUUGACGGGUAGCCGGCCUGAGAGGGUGACCGGCCACAUUGGGACUGAGAUACGGCCCAGACUCCUACGGGAGGCAGCAGUGGGGAAUAUUGCACAAUGGGCGGAAGCCUGAUGCAGCAACGCCGCGUGCGGGAUGACGGCCUUCGGGUUGUAAACCGCUUUCGCCUGUGACGAAGCGUGAGUGACGGUAAUGGGUAAAGAAGCACCGGCUAACUACGUG
rnacentral:rRNA from 1 species